CGUUAGAGAUGGGAUAAUUUUAUUUGAACAGUAUCGUAAACUGUGUCGAGUGAGAGUUUCAGGUUUCAUCAAUUAUGUACGAGAUAUUUGAAAAAAUAUCAUUCCACAAAGCUAUUAUUUGUGCAAUUUUAAAUAUUUACCGGUGUUUAUUGUAACUUUGAAGUUCGACCAGAAGUGAAGGACACUUUAUACAGGGUGCAUGUACAGUUUUAACUGUUUUAACUCUUGAUCGGAUAAAUUCUAGUAUUUUGUAUACUUUGAUUAAUGUUAGUAUCCCAAUUGCUUUUUUUCAGUUGUGUUUCACUGGUUGUUAGUCGUGUUUUUGGGCUGCCUGCAGAGUACAAUUUUUCCAUUUUGUUGUAAUAAUUUUCUGAUUUUCGCUAUGGAAUGAAGAAUAUCCUUAUCUGCUUUCUUGGCGCAGAUCGAAUCACCUUUACGGACCACGGUAAUGAGCGAAUGAUCACGGUGCUCUGGCCCAAAUGUUGGAGGAACGAGUUAAUUAUCUCUGCAUAUAACCUACAAUUAUAUAUUAAAAUUUAGUUUAGCAGGUGUUUACUUUAUGCAAAAUUUGCGAAGUUUUGUAGUUAAUAUACGUUGUAAAAUGUUAGAUUUCGGGUAAAAAUAAGUAAAAGUUUUAAGCUGUUCUUGUUAGGGCUCCAAGUACUUUUGCUUAUUGUAUACGUCAGCGUUAAAUUAUUUAAGAAGCGAAUGGACAAAAGGCACACAAUUAUAAGGUAUGGGGUGAGAGCUAGGCAAAAUGAUGUCGAAAUGGAACCAUUGCCCUUAUCCG